GUGGUUUAAUUCGAAGCAACGCGAAGAACCUUACCAGGCCUUGACAUGCAGAGAACUUUCCAGAGAUGGAUUGGUGCCUUCGGGAACUCUGACACAGGUGCUGCAUGGCUGUCGUCAGCUCGUGUCGUGAGAUGUUGGGUUAAGUCCGCUAACGAGCGCAACCCUCGUCGUAUGUUAUAUGUGUCAUACGAGACUGCCGGUAAAAAGCCGGAGGAAGGUGAGGAUGAUGUCAAGUCAGCAUGACCUUUAUAUCCAGGGCUACACACACGCUACAAUGGUCUGUACAAUGGGUAGCCAAGCCGCGAGGCGGAGCCAAUCCUGAAAGCAGGCCUCAGUUCAGAUUGCAGUCUGCAACUCGACUGCAUGAAGAUGGAGUUGCUAGUAACCGCAGGUCAGCAAUACUGCGGUGAAUACGUUCCCGGGUCUU
rnacentral:rRNA from 1 species